GAAGGAUGAUGCUGCCUUGAAUUUCCAGCUUGUUUAUUGAGAGGAACUCGUGGGGCCUGAAGAGGGAAGAAAUGGAGCGCCGCUCUGAACCAAGCUGUUGCAGUUCCUCCACCGUUGGACGGCUCUUGAGCUGAGCAGGAAGCCCUUGAAGGGCUGCAGAGCCGCUCGAGCGGUGACGAGGUGACAUGGAAAGUCUGCGUGCGGCUCCACGU